GACAGAGACUCACAGAAAUGUAGUGUGUACUUAUGUGCUCUCACACCCAUGCAUCCAGCACACCCUCCAUAGGAGGCUCAUCCCUCUUUCCAUCAUGUUGUACCUGGAACCUUUUUGGCAGUCUUCGCUCCAAGUGAAACUAAUUAAACUUCUUUAGAGAGAAAUGGAAAAGUGUCCCUUGCAGUUGAAGCAUGUGCCUCGGCCUGGCCAACAGCCCAGCAGAAGUCAUGUAUGGCAUUUCUAUGCUGAGGCAUUUCACAGCUGUUGUGCCUUCACUGAAAUCUUUCUUGUACUCCAGUGAAUUGAAGAACAUAGCUUCCAAGCAAUGACAUGGAUAAAGACCACUUAAGCCACAAUAGGACUCUUUUCUCUUUAUGUAUUCCUUGGUACCUAGAGCCUCCUCUCUUCUCCCUGCCCUCCUGUCCCCAUUCCUCAACUUACAUCUUUCCCUGCUAAGGAGGCUGGGACUAGCCCUUGACAGAGAUAUGUGUGUGAGUAAUAUGAAACUCAUGUUCAUGCCAACUGCUGUGGAAUCUGUCUGUGAGGCAGUAAUUUCCUGUUCUCCAGUGUUGCCUGUGUCUCUGUGGGGUCCGUGAUGUCACCAGAGGAAACUCAUCAUGCAUUUUUUAUUGUUAAUUCUACAACUAGUCCUUAACUUGGAAUCAGGUAGUUUAAAUUUUUCUCCAAGAGAAUGCCCAUGUGGUUGGAUUUUGUACAAUACUCACCGGUUGUUCUCCAUGAUCUAUAAUUAAUAAUGGAAAACAUUUACAUUCCAACAAUUUUAAGGACAGUUUAUUUACUCUUUGUUUCAAGCAAAUCAAAUUUUAUUUCCAUUUUGUGAUAUUUAUUACAACGAGAAAAUCCUCAGUCCUUCUACAUCAAGAUCAAAAUAAACAUAUAAGGCGCUGUAUUA